GAAAAUAGGAGUAGCUCCUGGUUGAAGAUUGCAGAUCUCUGAUUGAUCCUAACUGGGAAGAACAAUGAAGACAUCCAUUGGAGCAUCUUUCAUGUUCUUUUGGCUGCAGCUGCACUGGGAGAGCCGAGGAGAUGAUGUGGAACAGUUUCCUUCUAUUCUGAGUGUCCAGGAAGGAGACAGCUCUGUUAUCAACUGUACUUAUUCCGACAGCUCAUCAGCCUUUUUCGCAUGGUAUAAACAAGAACCUGGUCAGGGGCCCCAGCUCAUUCUAGACAUUCGCUCAAAUGUGGAGAAAAAGCAAAACCAACGACUCACUGUUUUGCUGAAUAAAGUGGCCAAACACUUCUCCCUGCACAUUGCAGCCACCCAGCUUGGAGACUCAGCCAUCUACUUCUGUGCAGCGAGUACACAUUGCUUCCCCUGCACCUGCAGGCAGUACCCAAACCUGUGAGUGGUGCAGAAGCCUCGCCUUAUCUCUUUUUUCUCUGGCACGGCCUUCCCAUUACAACAUUUGCCAUAUUGUUUGUUUGCAAAUAUAAAUUAACAUAUAGACAUUAAAAGCUUGUAAUAAAAAGCUUAUGUUCAAGAUAAACCAGAACAGUUGAGAUCAUUUUGUUGGCUGACUGUUGCUUAAUAGAUUACUUCUUUUUUUUCCUUUGGGACUUUUAAUAUUUAUUUUAGCUGUUAUAUAAAACUAUAUAAAUUUAUGGAGUAUUAUGUGAUAAUUCAACACAUGGACACAUUGCAUAAUGUUCAGAUGUAUUUCUUUGUCCUUAAUCACUUUUCAUGUCCAUGGUAAAACACUAAAAAUAUUUUCUUCUA